AUCAUGGCUCAGGAUGAACGCUAGCGGCAGGCCUAAUACAUGCAAGUCAAGGGGCUCAGCAAUGGGCACCGGCGCAGGGGUGCGUAACGCGUACAUAACCUACCCUGAAGAGGGGGAUAGCAUCGGGAAACUGGUGGUAAUACCCCAUGAGCUUACGUCGUGGCAUUACGGUGUAAGGAAAGUUCAAGCGCUUUGGGAUGGAUGUGCGUCCGAUUAGCUAGUUGGCGGGGUAACGGCCCACCAAGGCGACGAUCGGUAGGGGGUGUGAGAGCAUGACCCCCCACACGGGUACUGAGACUCGGACCCGACUCCUACGGGAGGCAGCAGUAAGGAAUAUUGGACAAUGGAGGGAACUCUGAUCCAGCCAUGCCGCGUGAAGGAUGAAGGCGCUCAGCGUUGUAAACUUCUUUUGAAUGGGAACAAAUGACGGGAUUCAUCUCGUUUUGAGGGUACCAUUAGAAUAAGCACCGGCUAACUCCGUGCCAGCUGCCGCGGUAAUACGGAGGGUGCAAGCGUUAUCCGGAAUCACUGGGUUUAAAGGGUGCGUAGGCGGCUAUGUAAGUCAGUUGUGAAAUACCUCGGCUUAACCGAAGGAAGUGCGAUUGAUACUGCGUAGCUUGAAUCAAGUUGAGGUAGGCGGAAUGUGACAUGUAGCGGUGAAAUGCUUAGAUAUGUCAUAGAACACCGAUUG
rnacentral:rRNA from 1 species